rnacentral:lncRNA from 1 species
UGAGAAGAAAGAGUUCGAGAAGUUGGAGUUGACGACGGUAAUGACGACGGUAAUGACAACAGAAGUACUAACACAACGAUAAUGUGAAGAAGUAUGGUGGUAGUCAAAGUUGGAGGAGAAGAAAGAUGACUAAAAGACGACGAUGAAUGAAUAAUGAUGAUGGUGGUGGAGGAGACACAUUAAAAAUAAGGAGAAGAGGAAAAGGAGGGGAAGAAGAGGAGAAGGAUGGAAAGAAAAAGAACUAAAUGUGAUUUUUAAUAACAAAUGUUAUUAACAACCAAAAACUAUUGAUAAUUUUCGACAAAUAUUUACUUACAAGUUUAUUGAUAAAUUUGUGGUAAUCGAUAAUCGUCAACAAAUUUCAAUUUUCAUCAAUAAAAUUUAACAAUAAAAAC